AGCAAAACGAUGAGAAAAAACAAAAACGGCCGAAACGAGGGAGCCGAGCCGGAGCCGGAGCCGGCAAAGUGGCAAUCACGUCCGGUGUGUCGGGUUUCGUCUAAAUGGGAUUCCACGUGUCCUUCCUAACCCGUUCCCUUGACGGCCGACUUCUCCGUCAACUUAUCCUCCCCUCUCUCCGUUUUUCUCCGUCAACCGAUAAAUUUAUAUAUCUCUAUCGUAAAAAACGCCGGUCAACUACCCUCUCUCUCUUUCUAAAAACCCUACCUUCCCUUCUCUCUCUACAACAAACUUUCCCUUCCUUUCUCUCUCUCUAAAAAUCUUUUAGAUCGGUGAUAUCGUCCGCCGGCCACACGAUUUGUUAGCUUUCAGGGAAAACACAUGGAAGACGACGAAGAAAUCCAGUCACAUCCAUCCGCAGGAUCUGGAUCUCCGAGUUCGCCGCGUUCUAAUCGCCGGAUAACCGUCACGGUGGCUACCGCUGCGCCUCCUCAGAAUACCUUGACGUUAGCGCUACCGAUACAGCAGCCGAGGACCGUCGGCGGCGGCGGUGGAGGUGGCGGUGGUGGUGGUGGAGGAGGAGGAGGUGGAGGAGGUCGGGAGGAUUGUUGGAGCGAAGGUGCAACCGCUGUAUUGAUUGACGCGUGGGGAGAGCGGUACCUGGAGCUGAGCAGGGGGAAUUUGAAGCAGAAGCACUGGAAAGAGGUUGCGGAUAUAGUUAGUAGUCGGGAGGAUUAUUUGAAGGCUCCGAAAACGGAUAUUCAGUGCAAGAAUCGGAUCGACACGGUGAAGAAGAAGUAUAAGCUUGAGAAGGCCAAAAUUGCGUCUGGCGGGGGGCCUAGUACGUGGAGUUUCUAUGAUCGGUUGGACCAGCUCAUCGGCCCUACGGCCACCGCGAAGAGCGGUUCAUCAUUGUUGACUACUCCGCCUUUAAGAGCUGUUCCGAUGGGGAUUCCGGUCGGUGUUAGAUCGGCACCUGUUCAAAGUCUGCGGCUAAAGCAGCAACAAGAGCGACAACAACAGCUACUUCAGCAGCAGCAGCAACAACAACAACAACUUCAACAGCAGCGUAAGCGUCUACGCCCCCCUCCUGCCUAUUCAGACUCAUCUGAAUCAGAACCAGAGGCGUCUCCAGAUUCGCCUGAAUCAGAUUCCUACGAGCAAAAACGCCCAAGAGUUCCACUUCCAUUCAAUGCAAACUCCAACUCCACCACGAGGCAGCAACAACAGGACAGAGGGCGAGGAGUAGGAGGGAGAGAGAAGAAUUGGGGAGAUUCCGUUAGAGAAUUGACCAGGGCGAUAAUGAAAUUUGGGGAAGCUUAUGAGCAGGCUGAGAGCUCCAAGUUGCAGCAGAUGGUGGAGAUGCAGAAGCAAAGCAUGAAAUUUGCAAAGGAGCUUGAAUUGCAAAGGAUGCAGUUCUUCAUGAAGACACAGUUAGAGCUGUCACAGCUGAAGCACAGUAGGAAAGGUGUUGGGAACAACACCACCAAUCAUCAUCAUAGUCAUAAUCAUAAUAACACUCAUAAUCAUCACAACAGUAGUAACCAUAAUACUAUAAACAGCAACAACAACAAUCAUAGUGAUGAUAGCAAUAACUAAAUUAAGGUAUGCUUGGUUUUCCAGGCUGAAAGGCUCAUCAAGAUUUAGGAAGGUCAUCUUGAAGGUUCAAGAAAGACUACAUUCCCGUUGUCGCUCUCCGCCUCCUCCGACACCCCAACUUUGGCGACGUCUCUGACGACACCUCCUCCUUGCAACGCUUCACCUCCGACGCUCUUUGCAAAAAUGUGAAGGUCGAAUCUAAAAUCAAUUCGACGUUUUGCCCUUAACCUCGGUAUGUGAAAUGGAAAUCGAAGUAUGUGAAAUGGAAAUCGAAGCCUACCUGAACUUUGAAUCUCGAAUCUUGUUAUAUUACAGUUCAAUUUUGUGCUUCUUUUCCCAUGAUAAUACUUUGAAUAUCGUCUUUUGAUCUAAGAACAAUUUGUGGUUUUUGUUAUAAAUUGUUUGUUGAAAGGUUUGUUUGGGUUUUUGUUUUGUGGUAACGAGAGUUCAAAGAAGAGCAGAAGUGAGAAAAAGAGUCGUAAUGCAAUGUUGAAGCUGGGGCAAAGAUUGAAAAUCUGAGAUUGCAACUGCAGACAGAAGCUGCUUAACAAUUUUGAGUGCAUGAUUUGUGUUCUAUUAUGGAAAAGGCAAAUACUUUUGUUGCAGUUGAUGCGUCAUCUAGGGCUUCCGAUGGAUUUAGGUACGGUCAACGUCGUGACUCGGUAACCUGGUACAAACUCAUCAGGUGGCGGCAAUCAUCGGGUUUCAUUUUCGCCCUUACUCAGUAACCUGCUUCGAUCUCACUCAAGGGAAGAAGGAGGCACGCUGUGAGUGUGAGGUUUGGUCCCUAAAAAAACAUAUAGGAUUUAGUUUAAAAUGCCACAUCACUAUCUCACUCACAGGGGAAGAAUGAGUAUCUCACUCACAGGGGAAGAAUGGGUAUCGAAAAAGAGACUUUGCAAGGAGGUUUGGGUUUAGCGGAGGGGAGAAACGAGAGAAGGAGGUUGCGAUAGAUCUAAAAGAAGUGGGUGUUCGUAAUCUCUGCCUUGAAGGCUCCUACAAUCCGAUUUCAAGAGGAGUUGUGAUUUUUGGUGCAUGUUGGUUGAUUAAGAACGAAGACGCAAAGGAGGCACACUGUGAGUGUGAGGUUUGGGCCCCAAAAAACAUAUAGGAUUUAAUUUAAAAUGCCACAUUACAAAAUAACCGAUAUUUCCCGAUAUCUGGUAACAUAAUUGUAUAAUUGGCAGUGAAAACUUAAUUUUAAUGACCAAUUGAGCAUAAAAAAAUAUUUGAGUGACGAAA